rnacentral:misc_RNA from 1 species
UUCAAUAGGUGACUUGAAGCAUCUUAGGUAUCUUGACCUUUCAUACACCCCUAUUAGAACAUUACCUGAGACAACAACCUCUCUUUGCAACUUACAAACUAUGCUACUGAAAAGAUGCGAGUGUCUCAAGAAAUUGCCUUCAAAAAUACAGAAUCUGAUCAACCUGCGACAUCUUGAUAUGCGACACACAUUUGUUGAAGGGAUGCCAUUGGGAAUAGAAGAAUUGAAAAGUGUUUGUACAUUGUCUGAUUUUGUUGUAGGG